rnacentral:rRNA from 1 species
UACGUAGGCAGCAAGCGUUGUUCGGAGUUACUGGGCGUAAAGAGUGCGUAGGCGGUCCUGUAAGUUUGGUGUGAAAUCUCCCGGCUCAACUGGGAGGGUGCGCCGAAGACUGCAGGGCUUGAGUAUGGGAGAGGUAAGCGGAAUUCCUGGUGUAGCGGUGAAAUGCGUAGAUAUCAGGAGGAACACCUGUGGUGUAGACAGCUUUACUGGGACCAUAAACUGACGCUGGAGGCACGAAAAGCGUGGGGAGCAAACAGG